AAAAAAGCACCUUGUAUGGCGGACUUUAGAUGGCGGAAAUCCGCCAUCAAUACUUCAGUUGUUUAGAUGGCGGAUGUCCGCCAUCUAUUCUUUGAAUCCGCCGAGGAAAGGUUUUGGCUCGCCGGCGGUUCGAAAUUGUUUUCAAUGGCGGUGUUUAGAUGGCGGAUUUCCGCCAUCUAAACUAUCCCGCCCAAAAUUUCGAAUCUCCCCCAAACAAUAACCCGAUUACCCGAUUAAAUUGACUUAAGAUGGCGGAAAUCCGCCAUCUUAAGUAUUCGGGGACUCGGGCGGAAAAAGCCCGCCCAAAUUUCGAUUGGGCGGACUUUUCCACCUUACAUGGCGGCACUUAACUGUACUUACAUGGCGGAAAUCCGCCAUGUAAGUUUUGGGGUUUAAUAAAAAACCCCAAAUCGACAGACGCUACUGUCUGUCUUGAAAUCGUUCUCUCCUCUCCCCAAUCGCCGCCGUUGCCAACUGCCUUCGUCGUCGAUCACUUGCCGUCGUCCCGUCGCCGUCGUCAUCCCCUCCCGCCGGUCUUCCUUUCCGUGGUGUGAAGGUAUGUGAUCUUCCAUUUUUUUAUGUUGAUAUUUGUAUUUUAUGAAUUUGUUUUAGAUGAUUAGAUGUUUGGAUGUUUUGGGUAAAUCAUGUGUUUUAAUCUAUAUAUUUGUUAGUGUUUGGAUGUAUAGAUGUUUAGAUGAUAAUGUUAAUGGAUUGAUUUACAUUUUGAUUGAUUUUGAUUGAUUUACAUUUUUUAGAUUUUGGGUUCUAUAUAUGUUAAUGAAUGUUUGAGAAGGAUUAUGAUUUGUGAAGGAUUAUGUUAAUGAAUGUGGGGUUUGAAUGAAUGUUUAAUGAAUGUUGAGGAUCAUGUUAGAAGAGAAAAUAUGGGCGAUGGUUAUUGCUUUACAUGGGUAUCUAUAAUUGUCAUAUGGAGAUCAAACAUAUAAAGACAUAGAAUGAAAAUGCUUGCAUAUAUUGCUUAGUUUGCUGGCCGAUUUUAAAGGUUGGUUGGUGAUCUUCUUUUCUGCUGCAGAUGAAUCAUGAUGAUUCAUGAUUGAACUCAUGAUUUUGUCUUUGUUCUAUCUUCUAUGUUGUAGCUUCAUCCUUGUAAAAUUGAGCACACAACACACUAGGAGUAAAGUAUAAACUAUCAAGUAUUCAUCCUUGUACAUGAAAUUAAAAUAAUUAGUUUUUAAAAUAAUUAAAGUACUGUUUUUAAAUAAUUAAAUUAGAUAAUGAUUUGAAAUAGUUAAAUAAUUAAUGUAUUUCAUGUUUGAAAUUACAAAUUAAUUUAAAAAUUAAUUUGUUUUAAUAAUUUUCUGUUUUUAAAUUAUUUAAAAAAAAAUUAAAAAAAUUAAUUAAUUUAUGUUUUAAAAUAAUUUAAAAUUUAUAUUAAAUAAUUAAUGUGUUUUUUAAUGUAAUGAAUUAAUUUGCAUGAAUUCAAGUAAUUAAUUACAAUAAAAUUAAUAUGUUAUUAAUGAAAUAUUAAAUGUUUAUGUUAAAAAAUAAUAUGUUUUAUUAUUUAAUAAAUUGUAAAAUAAUAUUGUUUAAUAAUUAAUAAUUAUUUAAUUGAAUGUUAUUUAUUAAAAAAAUAGUAAUUAAUUAACAAUUUACAUUAAUGUAUUGUAUAUGUUAAUAAUUAAAUAUGAAUGAAUAUAUUUUUUUCAAUAAAUAAAUAAUUAAUUUACUGUUUUUAUGUUUUUUAAUUAAAUGAAAGUGUAUUUAAUUAAAAUAAUAAUUACUGUUAUUAUUGAUUUAAUAAAACAAUUAAUUAAUAUUUUCUUUAAAUAAAAAAAUAAAUAAUUUACUGUUUUUAAAUUAAAAAAUUAAUAAAUAAUUUUAAAAUUAAUUUAAAAUCAUUAUUUUAUUUACUGUUUUUAAUUAAAGAAUUAAUAAUAUUUUGAAAUAAAUAAAUAAUUUUCUGUUUUUAAAUAUUUUUAAAAAUAAUGAAAUUAAUUAUUUGAUAUACUGUUUUUAAUUAAAUAAUUAAUAAUUUUGUUGAAAUAAUUAAAAAAUUAUUGUGUUGUUGACUUGAUGUAGGUUUUGAAAAAUCAAGAAUCCAAAAAUUUGGAUUGAAUUAAGCUCUAUUGCGGUAUUAUAAAUGUUUAUUUAAUCAUUUUGUUUUAAAAAUAUUUAAUUAAUUUGCAUGCAUGUAAAUAUAAAUUUGUUAAUUAGUAAUUAUGAAAUUGAAUGAUUUGAAAU
rnacentral:lncRNA from 1 species